UAGUGUUAGGCGUUAAUUAACCACAGCUAGU
rnacentral:piRNA from 1 species